rnacentral:rRNA from 1 species
GACGAACGCUGGCGGCGUGCUUAACACAUGCAAGUCGAACGGAAAGGCCCUGCUUUUGUGGGGUGCUCGAGUGGCGAACGGGUGAGUAACACGUGAGUAACCUGCCCUUGACUUUGGGAUAACUUCAGGAAACUGGGGCUAAUACCGGAUAGGAGCUCAUGCUGCAUGGUGGGGGUUGGAAAGCUUCGGCGGUUGGGGAUGGACUUGCGGCUUAUCUGCUUGUUGGUGGGGUAGUGGCUUACCAAGGCCUUGACGGGUAGCCGGCCUGAGAGGGUGACCGGCCACAUUGGGACUGAGAGACGGCCCAGACUCCUACGGGAGGCAGCAGUGGGGAGUAUUGCACAAUGGGCGGGAGCCUGAUGCGGCGACGCCGCGUUCGGGAUGACGGCCUUCGGGUUGUAAACCGCUUUCGCCUGUGACGAAGCGUGAGUGACGGUAAUGAGUAAGGAAGCACCGGCUAACUACGUG